rnacentral:rRNA from 1 species
GAUGAACGCUAGCUACAGGCUUAACACAUGCAAGUCGAGGGGAAACGACAUCGAAAGCUUGCUUUUGAUGGGCGUCGACCGGCGCACGGGUGAGUAACGCGUAUCCAACCUGCCCACCACUUGGGGAUAACCUUGCGAAAGUAAGACUAAUACCCAAUGACAUCUCUAGAAGACAUCUGAAAGAUAUUAAAGAUUUAUCGGUGAUGGAUAGGGAUGCGUCUGAUUAGCUUGUUGGCGGGGUAACGGCCCACCAAGGCGACGAUCAGUAGGGGUUCUGAGAGGAAGGUCCCCCACAUUGGAACUGAGACACGGUCCAAACUCCUACGGGAGGCAGCAGUGAGGAAUAUUGGUCAAUGGGCGAGAGCCUGAACCAGCCAAGUAGCGUGCAGGAUGACGGCCCUAUGGGUUGUAAACUGCUUUUAUAAGGGAAUAAAGUGAGCCUCGUGAGGCUUUUUGCAUGUACCUUAUGAAUAAGGACCGGCUAAUUCCGUGCCAGCAGCCGCCGUAA